AGAACGAACGCUGGCGGCAGGCUUAACACAUGCAAGUCGAACGCUCCUAGCAAUAGGGGAGUGGCAGACGGGUGAGUAACGCGUGGGAACAUACCCUCCGGUUCGGAAUAACUCAGGGAAACUUGAGCUAAUACCGGAUACGGCCUUUAGUCGAAGGAUUGGCGGCGAAAGAUUUAUCGCCGGAGGAUUGGCCCGCGUCCGAUUAGCUAGUUGGUGUGGUAAUGGCGCACCAAGGCGACGAUCGGUAGCUGGUCUGAGGGGAUGAUCAGCCACAUUGGGACUGAGACACGGCCCAAACUCCUACGGGAGGCAGCAGUGGGGAAUAUUGGACAAUGGGCGCAAGCCUGAUCCAGCCAUGCCGCGUGAGUGAUGACGGCCUUAGGGUUGUAAAGCUCUUUCGCUCGGGACGAUAAUGACGGUACCGAGAUAAGAAGCCCGGCUAACUUCGUGCCAGCAGCCGC
rnacentral:rRNA from 1 species